CAAUUGUGGGUACAGCUAGCUCCCCUCUCUCCUUAAAUGGUGUAGUAGUGGAUUGAAACCAUUCAUGUACCCUCUUUUCUUUCCCAAAUUCAUCGGCGACUACUACCUGUAGCCUUUUGUGUGCUCAUGACUACAGGUGUCGAGCAACCAGCACGCAGCCAAUCCCAGUGAGGCAUCACGGGUGAUGAAUUGACCUGCAAAACAACAGAAAUGUAGUCAAGUGAAAGAGCAUGUUACAACAUAUUACAGAUGGAACAGGGACCACCAACAUCGACAUAAGAGAAAGUUACAUGUAUCAAUUUUUUCCAUAGUUGAGUAGAUCGUGCUUUGACUUCAGCUUAUUUUGAUUUCCAUCGAGUCUUUUCUUUGUUAACAUACUUUGACAUAUAUUGCAGCUCUUUGUGCUAUUCAAUGUUCUGAAGUAGUCAGCAUAGCAAAAAACGUUACAGGUCUAAUUCUAUCUCAAUCUGUGGUACCCAAUGUUCUGAAGUGUUCUAAAGUUGGCAUAUAUGAUUUUAGUAUACUAGAACUUCAUAACAUAAGAAGGUACAUCAGUUUAGUUUAAGCAUAUAUACUCAAAGUGUUUUUCCUUCAGAAUUCUCAUUUCAAACCAUGCAUGAUAAGUCUGUUCACCCCCAGUAGUACCAGAUUAUUUGUUUAAAACAUUGGAUUUAGAAUGUUGCUCAAGGCACCCAACAAGGCAUCAACCAUAUGUAGCGAUGUGCUUUUUUCUUACUAUUGAUUACUAAAUUAAGGGGUUAUUGAUUUCAUAUACCGAUAUUCCUUUAUAGACUUUACCCCAUGAAUUGUAAUUCCAAAGAGUGACAACCAUGAAUAUACUUUUUUUCUAUUUUAAAAUUUUAGGUGCAAUCAUGAAAUUGCUAUGUAGUGAUAGUUUCGCCUUUGAUUCUAAAGGUUUGGUCCUUUGGGUGAUAGGUUUCUUUUCUUUUCUCAUUGCUGGCUUUUCUUGCAUGUUUUUUUGGUCCUAUGAAUUACGGUAGUAAUAUUAGUUCUUGAUAUUUGAACGGUUACAUAUCUCUCACAAUUCCAUAGUUUUUCCUCUCAUGUUGUCUCCUUGCUGAAAGUAUUGAUGUCAAGAUAAAAUAAUGUGUCGGCUCUUCAACAAAUUGAGUACUAAUUCAUUUUCAGGUAUCAGUUUAAAAGUGGGCAGCCGAUAACCGGUGGCCACUAUCUUGCACAAGCUGCUCAGAGCCUCAGAUGACCCACUACAUAUAUGCAGUUAUUUGUGCUUUAUCAUUAACAUUUGUCAUUGUCCUAUCUUUAUUUUAUAUCUUUGUAAUGAAUGAUUGCAUGCCGUGGCCAGUUCUUGACUUCUAUGCUUUGGCGUUACUUGAUACA